rnacentral:rRNA from 1 species
GGCUCAGGAUGAACGCUGGCGGCGUGCCUAAUACAUGCAAGUCGAGCGAACGGACAGGAGUGCUUGCACUCCUUGAAGUUAGCGGCGGACGGGUGAGUAACACGUGGGUAACCUACCUAUAAGACUGGGAUAACUUCGGGAAACCGGAGCUAAUACCGGAUAAUAUAUACCUCCGCAUGGAGGAAUAGUCAAAGACGGUUCUGCUGUCACUUAUAGAUGGACCCGCGGUGUAUUAGCUAGUUGGUGAGGUAACGGCUCACCAAGGCAACGAUACAUAGCCGACCUGAGAGGGUGAUCGGCCACACUGGGACUGAGACACGGCCCAGACUCCUACGGGAGGCAGCAGUAGGGAAUCUUCCGCNAUGGACGAAAGUCUGACGGAGCAACGCCGCGUGAGUGAAGAAGGUUUUCGGAUCGUAANACUCUGUUGUAAGG